UACAACGAAGAGUUUGAUCCUGGCUCAGGAUGAACGCUAGCGGCAGGCUUAACACAUGCAAGUCGAGGGGUAACAGAGAGUGCUUGCACUCUGCUGACGACCGGCGCACGGGUGAGUAACGCGUAUGCAACCUACCUUUUACAGGGGAAUAGCCCAGAGAAAUUUGGAUUAAUACCCCAUAUUAUCUUUUUUUCGCAUGAAUUAAUGAUGAAAGUUUCGACGGUAAAAGAUGGGCAUGCGUCUUAUUAGUUUGUUGGUAAGGUAACGGCUUACCAAGACUUCGAUAGGUAGGGGCCCUGAGAGGGGGACCCCCCACACUGGUACUGAGACACGGACCAGACUCCUACGGGAGGCAGCAGUGAGGAAUAUUGGACAAUGGAGGAAACU
rnacentral:rRNA from 1 species